GGCGGAACUGGCAGACGCACAGGACUUAAAAUCCUGCGGUGGUUAAACACCGUACCGGUUCGAUUCCGGUC
rnacentral:tRNA from 2 species